UACGUAGGGUGCGAGCGUUGUCCGGAUUUAUUGGGCGUAAAGAGCUCGUAGGCGGUUUGUCGCGUCGGCCGUGAAAUCUCCACGCUUAACGUGGAGCGUGCGGUCGAUACGGGCAGACUUGAGUUCGGUAGGGGAGACUGGAAUUCCUGGUGUAGCGGUGAAAUGACGUAGAGAUGUGGAGGAACACCAGUGGCGAAGGCGGAUCUCUGGGCCGAUACUGACGCUGGAGGAGCGAAAGCGUGGGGAGCGAACAGG
rnacentral:rRNA from 1 species